rnacentral:rRNA from 1 species
GUGGGGAAUAUUGCACAAUGGGGGAAACCCUGAUGCAGCCAUGCCGCGUGUGUGAAGAAGGCCUUCGGGUUGUAAAGCACUUUCAGCGAGGAGGAAAGGUUGGUAGCUAAUAACUGCCAGCUGUGACGUUACUCGCAGAAGAAGCACCGGCUAACUCCGUGCCAGCAGCCGCGGUAAUACGGAGGGUGCAAGCGUUAAUCGGAAUUACUGGGCGUAAAGCGCACGCAGGCGGUUGGAUAAGUUAGAUGUGAAAGCCCCGGGCUCAACCUGGGAAUUGCAUUUAAAACUGUCCAGCUAGAGUCUUGUAGAGGGGGGUAGAAUUCCAGGUGUAGCGGUGAAAUGCGUAGAGAUCUGGAGGAAUACCGGUGGCGAAGGCGGCCCCCUGGACCAAGACUGACGCUGAGGUGCGAAAGCGUGGGUAGCAAACAGGAUUAGAAACCCCGGUAGUCC